GCUGGCGGCAUGCCUAACACAUGCAAGUCGAACGGCAGCACAGUGGUAGCAAUACCAUGGGUGGCGAGUGGCGGACGGGUGAGUAAUGCAUCGGGACCUACCCAGACGUGGGGGAUAACGUAGGGAAACUUACGCUAAUACCGCAUACGUCCUACGGGAGAAAGCGGGGGAUCUUCGGACCUCGCGCGGUUGGACGGACCGAUGUUCGAUUAGCUAGUUGGUAGGGUAAUGGCCUACCAAGGCGACGAUCGAUAGCUGGUCUGAGAGGAUGAUCAGCCACACUGGAACUGAGACACGGUCCAGACUCCUACGGGAGGCAGCAGUGGGGAAUAUUGGACAAUGGGCGCAAGCCUGAUCCAGCAAUGCCGCGUGUGUGAAGAAGGCCUUCGGGUUGUAAAGCACUUUUAUCGGGAGCGAAAUACCAUUGGCUAAUAACCGAUGGGGCUGACGGUACCCGAGGAAUAAGCACCGGCUAACUUCGUGCCAGCAGCCGCGGUAAUACGAAGGGUGCAAGCGUUAAUCGGAAUUACUGGGCGUAAAGGGUGCGUAGGCGGUUUGUUAAGUCUGUCGUGAAAUCCCCGGGCUCAACCUGGGAAUGGCGAUGGAUACUGGCAAGCUAGAGUGUGUCAGAGGAUGGUGGAAUUUCCGGUGUAGCGUGAAAUGCGUAGAGAUCGGAAGGAACAUCAGUGCGAAGGCGCCAUCUGGGACACACUGACGCUGAAGCCACGAAGCGUGGGGAGCAAACAGGAUUAGAUACCUGGUAGUCACGCCCUAACGAUGCGACUGGAUGUGUCUCACUCGAGAUCAGUGUCGAGCUAACGCGUAGUCG
rnacentral:rRNA from 1 species